rnacentral:rRNA from 1 species
CCUACGGGUGGCAGCAGUGGGGAAUAUUGCACAAUGGGGGAAACCCUGAUGCAGCGACGCCGCGUGCGUGAAGAAGGAUUUCGGUAUGUAAAGCUCUAUCAGCAGGGAAGAAGAACGCCGGUACCUGACUACGAAGCCCCGGCUAACUACGUGACAGCAGCCGCGGUACUACGUAGGGGGCGAGCGGUAUCCGGAUUUACUGGGUUUAAAGGGAGCGUAGGCGGCUGUGCAAGUCUGAAGUGAAAGCCCAGGGCUCAAGCCUGGGACUGCUGUGGAAACUGUGGAGCUAGAGUGCUGGGGAGGCAAGUGGAAUUCGUGGUGUAGCGGUGAAAUGCGUAGAUAUGAGGAGGAACACCAGUGGCGAAGGCGGCUUACUGGACAGUAACUGACGUUGAGGCUCGAAAGCGUGGGGAGCAAACAGGAUUAGAUACCCGAGUAGUC